rnacentral:rRNA from 1 species
CCUACGGGAGGCAGCAGUGAGGAAUAUUGGUCAAUGGUCGAGAGACUGAACCAGCCAAGUCGCGUGAAGGAUGACGGCCCUACGGGUUGUAAACCUCUUUUGUCAGGGAGCAAUUGAGUCGACGUGUGGUCUUAGCGAGAGUACCUGAAGAAAAAGCAUCGGCUAACUCCGUGCCAGCAGCCGCGGUAAUACGGAGGAGGCGAGCGUUAUCCGGAUUUAUUGGGUUUAAAGGGUGCGUAGGCGGAAUAUCAAGUCAGCGGUAAAAAGUCGGGGCUCAACCCCGUCGUGCCGUUGAAACUGAUGUUCUUGAGUGGGAGAGAAGUAUGCGGAAUGCGUGGUGUAGCGGUGAAAUGCAUAGAUAUCGCGCAGAACUCCGAUUGCGAAGGCAGCAUACCGGCGCCCAACUGACGCUGAAGCACGAAAGCGUGGGUAUCGAACAGGAUUAGAUACCCGGGUAGUC